AAUGAACGCUGGCGGCGUGCCUAAUACAUGCAAGUCGAGCGAAUGGAUUAAGAGCUUGCUCUUAUGAAGUUAGCGGCGGACGGGUGAGUAACACGUGGGUAACCUGCCCAUAAGACUGGGAUAACUCCGGGAAACCGGGGCUAAUACCGGAUAACAUUUUGAACCGCAUGGUUCGAAAUUGAAAGGCGGCUUCGGCUUUCACUUCUGGAUGGACCCGCGUCGCAUUAGCUAGUUGGUGAGGUAACGGCUCACCAAGGCAACGAUGCGUAGCCGACCUGAGAGGGUGAUCGGCCACACUGGGACUGAGACACGGCCCAGACUCCUACGGGAGGCAGCAGUAGGGAAUCUUCCGCAAUGGACGAAAGUCUGACGGAGCAACGCCGCGUGAGUGAUGAAGGCUUUCGGGUCGUAAAACUCUGUUGUUAGGGAAGAACAAGUGCUAGUUGAAUAAGCUGGCACCUUGACGGUACCUAACCAGAAAGCCACGGCUAACUACGUGCCAGCCGCCGCUGUAA
rnacentral:rRNA from 1 species